rnacentral:lncRNA from 10 species
AUUCCUUACCCCAUCACCAAGGGAGACAAUCACAGUCUCAUUCAGUUGCUGCAUCAAGCUUGAAGUCCACAAAUUACAGAAAAGGGGUCCCAAUCCAGACCCCAAGAGAGGGCUCUUGGAUCUCACGCAAGAAAGAAUUCAGGGUGAGUCCAUAAAGUGAAAGCAAGUUUAUUAGAAAAGUAAAGGAAUAAAAGAAUGUCUACUCCAUAGACAGAGCAGCCCCAAGGCAUCUUGGCUGAUACAGAUUACCUUGGACUUUCUUUUCCAUGUGGCUGGUUUUUGCCUACGACUGAAGGUUCUUCCUAUUUUUUCCCAUGACUGAUGAUGUUCAUUCAUAUUUAACAACAAAAACCUGGGUGACUGGUGUAGCUUUCUUCUGCCAUUGUGAAGUUUGAUGGCAUGUCUUUAUAUCAUGGCCAUGGGCAGGACUUGGAAAAAGUUUUACCACUAAAGCAUCUAUGAACUCAAGAAAGAAAACACUGGCUAUGUACAAUGAUGACUGUGAUCUUUUAAAUUUAUCUCAAAUAGCGAACCUACCAGUCAUAACCCAAUUUGACUGCUACCUCUUCCCUGAAGUCUAUUUUCUACCUUUCUCUCAACGCUCAUCACAAAUGGUUCCAUGAGAAGCUGCCUUCCCCAGUACGCUGUAGAUUCCACAGACGAUUUAGUCACCAUUUCCUCCCACACAGAGCAGUGCCUUUCCCAGAGCAAGUGCUCACUGAGAGGAAAUCACCACUGGAGAUCCCAGAAGCAUAACAAUUGUCCCUUCCAAGUAGCAAGAAGUUACUUCAUCUUCUCAUCAGGACAAGGUUUCCAACUCUGUUGCCUCUGCAGGGGUGGAUUUGUGGAUCCUGAAUUCUGGCAGCUGUGUGAUCCACACCUUGGCUAGCACCAGAGGUCAUUGGCUAAGUGCUAUGACAGCAGGGAUUCUCCAAGGCCAAGCCCAUGGGGUUCAGGCCAGGGAUGAUCAAUCAUCAGGCGAAGGUUCCAGGACAUGAAGUGCAUCACAGGUGCUCUCCAGGAACAGGUACCCAGCCAUGCAGGACUAGGAGAGGCCCAGGGCAGCCCUGAUUCUCACAUGUCCACCCACUGGCAGGAGCUGACAGCUGUGCAUGACUAGCUCUCAAAGGCCCAGCUGCAUCCUGCCUCCUCCUGCUUCUGUUGAGUCUGGCAGCUACAAGCAAGAGUAUGGGAAAGCAGAAGACAGGAAGACAGGUGAACUCAUGGAAGACGGAGGCAGAGGGGAAAGUAGAGGCUCUGCAGACCCCAUCAUGGAGAACAAGAAACCGAGUGGGAGCUUAUCGACUUCAGCCUUACCCCAGGACGCACUCUCAACCAAGUUUACUCUCUGAACAGCUCUGAAACUUUUGGUUCAGUCGUGGCUGAACCAACAGGAAAUCAAGGGAAAUGGCACUUAUUUAUUAUGCAGCCGUAGGCCAAUUCCCCAGAUGUCAUUAUUGCACUUCCAGGCCUUUUGCUUAGGCAAAGAAACAGAGACCGAAAGAGACUUCUGAGACAACAGCCAGCAAAGAAGCUCACUGCCUUUUGAAGGGAUUCUCCUCCCAUGGGAGAAGAGCUGCUCUGGUCACUUCUACAAGUUCUAGCUGACCAGGCAGGGCCCUGGCUGAGAUCUUAUUUGGGGACUGAUCCUCUACCCUCUUCUCUCCACAAAUCAGUGAGCUUUGAGGGGAACUUGACUGCCACCAAACAUGAGGCUUUAGGACUGGAGAAGCUGGCAGACAAUGGGGUCCCCAGUGAUGCCCCUCAGAUGGGGCAAAGAUAUUCUCAACUACACCUCUGUCAAUGGUAUUAAUGGUUUUUAAAUGGUCUGUCCAUUUUUUCAUUAAAAAAGACACAGUAUUAAAAACUUGCCUGGAGUCAAACAGCUAGUAAGAGGCAAAGCCAGAUCUUGAGCUUGGUUUGUCAGGCACAUAACCACUCUACAUUAUCUUGUAAAGGUCAAAGAAAUUUUUUUCUUUUUAUUGCCUUAAAUCUAUUUUAAUGGGAAUCUUUCAGAAAUGGAGCCUUAUUUCCAUUGAUCUGAAAAUAGAAAACACUGAAGAUAUUGACACCCCCUCGUUCCUAUUCCCUAGCCACUGAACAAAAACAGCAGUUUCCUUCCAGCAGCCGCUGUUUUGGUGUAAUCCCAAUUUAAGUCACUAAGCUUCAAAAAUGCACCCUUCUGUCCUGCAGGCCUUGAUGACAGGUGAAGAUGAGGAGAUGGAGGACUCAGUCGGC